rnacentral:rRNA from 1 species
UACGAAGGGGGCUAGCGUUGCUCGGAAUCACUGGGCGUAAAGGGUGCGUAGGCGGGUCUUUAAGUCAGGGGGGAAAUCCUGGAGCUCAACUCCAGAACUGCCUUUGAUACUGAAGAUCUUGAGUUCGGGAGAGGUGAGUGGAACUGCGAGUGUAGAGGUGAAAUUCGUAGAUAUUCGCAAGAACACCAGUGGCGAAGGCGGCUCACUGGCCCGAUACUGACGCUGAGGUGCGAAAGCGUGGGGAGCAAACAGG